GACGAACGCUGGCGGCGUGCUUAACACAUGCAAGUCGAACGGUAAGGCCCUUUCGGGGGUCCACGAGUGGCGAACGGGUGAGUAACACGUGGGUGAUCUGCCCUGCACUUUGGGAUAAGCCUGGGAAACUGGGUCUAAUACCGGAUAGGACUACGCGAUGCAUGUCGUGUGGUGGAAAGCUUUUGCGGUGUGGGAUGGGCCCGCGGCCUAUCAGCUUGUUGGUGGGGUGAUGGCCUACCAAGGCGACGACGGGCAGCCGGCCUGAGAGGGUGUCCGGCCACACUGGGACUGAGAUACGGCCCAGACUCCUACGGGAGGCAGCAGUGGGGAAUAUUGCACAAUGGGCGCAAGCCUGAUGCAGCGACGCCGCGUGGGGGAUGACGGCCUUCGGGUUGUAAACCCCUUUCAGCACAGACGAAGCGUAAGUGACGGUAUGUGCAGAAGAAGCACCGGCCAACUACGUG
rnacentral:rRNA from 1 species